CGGGGGCCCGCGCGGGCUUGCGGGUCCGGGGCAGGAUGCCAGGUACCAGGGCCUCUGGGCUUCCUGUUAAAGAUUUUUUUCUAAGAGGGAUGGGUUUCUGCGCCGCUUAAAGCGAGAGGAGGAAAGAGGAAGUGGGCUCGGGCGUCGGCAUCCUCUCUGAUGGAGAAAUACGGGAAGGGCAGCGGCGUCUAAGCCACAGCCGCUGCUUCGGGGACGGGGGACGUGAUGACUGUUGGGAGACCCGGUGACCGCUAGCAUAAUCUGUACUUUUGUACUAAUCAGUUAAAUACGCUUUGUUACCUUCUAGACAUGUUUAUGGAAGGAGGGUUUAUUUGUCUAUCCAAUUUUGUAGUCUCUGUCUUUUAACAGAAAUAACCAGUUCUUCAAAUGCUCUUAGAACCAGCUUUACCAUCCUACUGCUUCCUUCAUCAAUUAAAAUAAAAUCAUUGACAUGGGUUCAUUCUGUAUAGAAGCAUAUGAGAGAGAAAUCAGCAAUGAUUCCUAUGCUUCUGGCUUCAACAACUGGGAAAAUGGAGCAUCCUGGUGACCAGCUUGCCUUUUCCUCAGCAUCUUCUUCCCAUGGUCAAGACAUGAGACAGGUCCAUUGAGGAUAAAAUGAAGAACUAAAGUAAGUGAAAGAAGAUGAGAUUUUAGGAGCAAAAUGUCUAUGGCAUAAAAUAAAUUAAUAUAACUGAUAAUAAAGAUAUUCGAUCAAAGA